ACUGACUGGUUUCUUGUUGUUUACAAAAUGCAAGUCUGGCCCCAUCUUACAGUUCAUUUAUAGCCACGGACCCUGGAUCUGUAGGAGGACAUUCCAGCCAGAGUUUUUCCACUUUCCUUGCAAAAAUUUCCAUCCUGGUUUGAAAGAAGACAGAAGAUUUCAGGCCUUUAUCUGUAUAAGGACAGAAGUAUCUCUUUCAUGAGGAACUGGAUUCUUUAAUUUCUGUACAAGAUCUUCUUCACUGGCUCCCUUACCAUCAUAUUUCAUGCCUGGAUUUUCUAGCCUUUCUGCUGUCAUCUCUUCUGUUUUAGCUCUAAGGGUUUUCCUGGGUAGAGAGCCCUCUGUACUAUUUUAGUCAUAUAACUUUAUCUUUCUAUGUGUAUAUAAGUCACAAAUCUAUAUUUUCAUCUCUUUGUCAUAAGUUCAAGAUGCAUAAAUCCAAGUGCCUUCUCUUAGAUAUUUCUAAGAGAAUGUGAUACAUCAGUUAUCUCAUACCUCCCCUUAUCCAAAUGGAAUUCAUUGUAUUUCCCCCCAAAGCCAUUCUACCUCACCUAUUCAAGACUCAGUAUAUGCCUCAUCUAUCCCCAUCUCACAACUAGAUAGAAGCCUCAAAGAUAUGUUUCAACUUGUCUCGCUCCUCGGCCCCCUCUAGCCUCACACCCUGCAGUCUUGUCACUUAUCAAAACCUUUUGUUCCUAUCUUAUAUAUAAAUCUCACAACUUGACAAUCCAUGCUCUCCCACUGUCACUGCCAUGGCUUCAAUGCAGAUUUUCUUAAGGUAGUGCAUGUAUUCCCAUAGUGUCUUGGUUCAUUUCCCAGCCUCAACGCAACUAGAGCUAGGGUUUCCCUAAUCCAGACUCAUAGGCUCAUAGCCUUCCCAAAGGCUUUUAUCCUGAGCCUUCUCCUAAGACCAUUUUUACCAAAGUUGACAAUUAUGCCUUAGAUGUAAAAUCUGAUGGAUCUUUCUCAGUCUUCAUUAUCUCGGCCUCUCUUUAGCAUCUGAUGCUGAUGACUACUCUUUUCAUUAAAGUCUCUGCUCCCAGGUUUUGGGCUCAAUUUCCCAGGUUAGAUUCCUUCCUUGUUAUUUCUGCCCAUCUCCAUUGUUGACCUUCUUCCUCUGCUCACCCUUGAAACUUUGGUGUUCUAGAGAGCUCUGGUCUUCCUCUUUAUUCUGUGUUUCCCCUGAUGUUCUCACCUUUUCCAAUAGCAUCAGCUACCACUGAUACUUAUCUUGAUCCAUGCUUUUCCCCUGAGCUACAAAUAGUAUUUUCUUUUUUGUUUCAUUGGGCUUUUUUUUACUUCAUUCAUUUUUAUUAAAUUAUAGUUGGUAUACAAUAUUAUAUUAGAUUCAGGCAUAUAAUGUAGUGAUUCAAUAUUUUUAUAGCUUAUACUUUUUAAAUUAUUUUUAUAUAUUGGCUAUAUUCCCUGUGCUGUACUAUACAUCCUUAUAGCUUAUUUAUUUUAUACACAGUAGUUUGAAUGUCCUCAGCAGAUAAAUGGAUAAAGGAAAUAUUGUACACACAUAUACACCCUCAUACAUUCACAAUGGAAUAUUACUCAGCCAUUCAAAAGAAUAAAAAUUUUGCCAUUCGUAACAACACAGAUAGACUCAGAGGUUAUUAUGUUUAUUGAAAUAAGCCAGAGAGAGAAAGGUAAAUACUAUAUGUUAUCACUUACAGGUGGAAUCUAAAAUAAUGAAACAAAUUAAUCUAACGAAACAGAAGUAGACUUACAGUAAAACAUGUGACCACCAGUGGGAAGAGAAAAGGGGGAGGGGAAAAAUAGGGGUAGUGAAUUAAGUGGUGCCAACAGUAUUUUCAGCUUCCAAAUGAAUAUCACAGUUUGAUGAUGUCUCACAGAAAUCUUGUCACGAUAUUCUAAAAACUGAACUUAUCUAUUUCCCUAAUUUCUUAUUCCUUAUUUCUUACCAACUAUCCCUGUUAUCUACCCAAUUAUACAAGCAGACCUUCACUCCCCUAAAUGUUUUAAUAGAAUCUAUGGCCAAUGAAAGGAAAGUUAGAGUUCUUUAGUUUGAGUGUAUCAGGCACCUUUGAUGUCCAGCAUCACAUUCCCUCAGCCCAACUCUGAUUUUGGCUGCAACUGCAGUGGAUGGCUCCAUGUGAGCUGAUUUAUUUGGAAUUGGCAACAUCCUUUCCCAGAAUACACCACUGAUAUUUCUGCCUCUGUGUUUUCUGAAUUUGGUUGCAUGCUUGUCCAAAUCAAAAGCACAGGCGAACAAUGGGGUUACAGUUUAUAUUCCCAGGGAAAAGCCUGAACCAAUGGAAGAUGGACACCAGUAGACAAAUUAUCCAGCCUCUCACCCCUCCAAUUCUGGACAAUUCUGGAGCAUUCUCAGUGUUUCCCAGAAGUCCGGGUCUGAAUCACGUUCCUAUUGCUCACAGAUGUCGCCUUAAUAAUACAAAUUUUUCUGUCUCAUGCUCCUUACUCUUCCAUGCCAAAUCUUUAUCCCUGGCUCUGUUUGGGGGAAACCCUAAAAAAAAGAGUUGAUUCAGAAGUAGUGGUGUAUAAAGUAUCCCUCAAGUUGGUUUCGGGGACUCAGUGUUGACAGAGAAUCAAGAAUCGUAUUAAUAACUGCAAACUCCUGGAGUGCUGUUAAGCCACAAUUGUGAGAACUCUUACUUGUCAGUGGCCUGGAAUGCAAUAGGGGUGGAGGAAUAGAUCUGGCACUAUUUCUACCACUUGGGCAGUAUAAACAUUGGUAAUUACAAGGAUGAUAUAUGAAGCUAGUUUGUGCAAGCUACUUUGAAAGUCUUGAGACAAGAAUAUUGUUAAGUAACCUAUAGGCUGCUCACUCCAUAAAUAAUAGGCAUAUUUUAAAUUAUUUUUUGUAAAUUUUUAAAUUGAUAUCAAUAAAGGCUUUUAUAUAAUAUUCAGUCAUCAAAAAGCAUAAUAGAGGUAUGCAUCCUCACUAGAUUGAACACUGGAGAAAAUACCUGUGCUUAGGAGAAUAGUGUUGAAAAACAAUUAAAUGCUGACUGUGGCUACCUCAGGAUGGCAGAAUCAAGAGUGAUUUUUUUUUUUAGUUUUAUCUGUCUAUCUUUAUGGUGGCCAUAUUACUAGGUAGAUAGGUAGAUCGAAUGAAAAUAAUUUUUUUGUUUUAUUUUUUUCAUUUUUUUUUAUUACUCAAAUGAAUUUAUCACAUCUGUAGUUGUAUAAUGAUCAUCACAAUCUGAUUUCACAGGAUUUCCGUCCCACAGCCCAAGCACAUCCCCCCCCCGCCAAACUGUCUCCUCCGGAGACCAUAAGUUUUUCAAUAUCUAUGAAUCAGCAUCUGUUCUGCAAAGAAGUUCAGUCUGUCCUUUUUUUCAGAUUCCACAUGUCAGUGAAAGCAUUUGAUGUAGGUGUCUCAUUGUAUGGCUGACUUCACUUAACAUGAUAGUUUCUAGGUCCAUCCAUGUUGCUAAAAAUGCUGGUAUUUCGUUCUUUUUGAUGGCUGAGUAAUAUUCCAUUGUGUAUAUGUACCACAUCUGGAUCCACUCCUCUGUCUAUGGACAUUUAGGUUGUUUCCAUGUCUUGGCUAUUAUAAAUAGUGCUGCAAUGAACAUCGGAGUACAUGUGUCUUUGCGAGUCGUGGUUUUCUCUGGAUAUAUGCCCAGGAGUGGGAUUGCUGGAUCAAAUGGUAGUCCUAUCUUUAGUUUUCUGAGGAAUCUCCAUCCUGCUUUGCACGUGGUUGCACCAAUGUACAAUCCCACCAACAGUGUACUAGGGUUCCUUUUUCUCCACACCCUCUCUAGCACUUAUUGUUUGUAGACUUUUUGAUGAUGGCCAUUCUGGCUGGUGUAAGGUGGUACCUCACCAUGGUUUUGAUUUGCAUUUCUCUAAUAAUGAGUGAAGCUGAACAUCUUUUCAUGUGUUUCUCGGCCAUCUGUAUGUCUUCUUUGGAGAAUUGUCUGUUUAGAUCUUCUGCCCAUUUUUGGAUGGGGUUGUUUGUUUUUUUGAUAUGGAGCUGCAGAAAAUUCUUCAGCCAGGAAAUUGAGUAGGUAGUCAUCACUAGGACAACCGUUUGAUGUGCAAUCAACUAGAUCCUAAAGUUUCUGAGCUGACUAGCCUUGUCCACUAAUGCAGUUAUUUUAAAAAGAGUGUCUCAUUCCAUAAAUGUUUUCAAAUUUAUCACACAUGUAUGGCAUGUUCGUUGUUGGCACAAUGAGAAAAUUCAAAUAAACAAAAUGGAAAAUUCUUAAAAUCACCCGUAAACUCCCAUUAGGUCUCAGAAGUUUUUCCAAAUUAAAACAUUUCAGAAGAAAUCAUGCAUGCAUUGGAGUAAGCACAGUUCGAAAAAUAUUUGCCUAAUUCCACAAAAAUUUACCUGCUUUGUCAAAGCCCCAAGUGCUCCUUUCUGACUAUACUCUGAGAAUUCCAUCUGCUAAGUUCUGCAUUCAUCACUCACUUGCCUCUCUUUAUACCUUAUCAUAUAUGCGUAUGUCCCUAAGCAACUCAUUGUUUAAAUUUUGCCUGCUUUAUCUUUCUUUGGAUAGAGGUACUCUUUGUGGAUUCUUUUAUGACUUGCCCUUUUCUGCUCAAUAUUUUGAUUUUGAGAACUACUACAUUGUGCUGUGUAUCUAGGCGACCUUCACUUUCACUCUGCAGGGUGUUUCUUUUUAUAUGAGUAUAUCAGAAUUCAUUUGCUUAUUUUACAGCGGCUGAACACUUGGAUCAUUUUUAAUUUGUAUAAUUAUAAACAGUGCUACUUAAUGUUUGUUAUUUUACAUGUCUCCAGAUACCAUGCCGUAACUCACUGGGAUGAAAGUGGAAUUGCUUAGACCUUCAGGCUUUGAGAGUUCCUACAUUUUCAUGUUUUCCCCAAUGCUUAGUAUUAUCAAACUUGUACAUUUUUACUUAUCUAAGAAGUGUGAAAUGUUACCCUAAUAUUUUCUUUUAAUUGGCUUUUCCACGUUUAAUAAGGAGAUUGAGUAUUUUUUAAUUGUUGGGUUUCCUUUUUUUGGUGUGUGAAAUGUCCACUCAUGACUUUUGACCAUUUAUCUUUUAGUUGUUUUUUCUUCUCCUUUUCCUCCUCUUCUUCAAAGAGCACCUUACAAAUCCUAGAGAGUAAGCCUUUGACAGUUAUAGGUGUAGUAAAUAAGUAACUAGGAAUAGCUGAAUCUUUUAUGUACAUACAAAUAUAUAUAUACAAUAUAUAUACAUACAGGUAUGUACACAUACACACAUACUUUUCUCACUUGUCUGAAGUGCUGCUUUAUUUGAAAUUGAAUUAUGUAGAAUCUUCACUUGUUGCUAGAUUAUUCUUAUCUCUUUCGCUUAUUUUUUUUAUACUAUUUCAUUGACUGCCUAUUUAUUCCAUGAUUAGUGCCAUACUCUUUUAAAUAUCAUUGCUUUAUGAUAUGCUUUAUUAUCUAACACUUCACAUGCAUGUGAUUUUCUUUAUGUUACAAUGUAU
rnacentral:lncRNA from 1 species